CCUACGGGGGGCUGCAGUGGGGAAUAUUGGACAAUGGGGGGAACCCUGAUCCAGCCAUGCCGCGUGUGUGAAGAAGGCCUCGGGUUGUAAAGCACUUUCAGUGAGGAAGAACGCCUGGUGGUUAAUACCCAUCAGGAAAGACAUCACUCACAGAAGAAGCACCGGCUAACUCCGUGCCAGCAGCCGCGGUAAUACGGAGGGUGCGAGCGUUAAUCGGAAUUACUGGGCGUAAAGCGCGCGUAGGUGGCUUGAUAAGCCGGUUGUGAAAGCCCCGGGCUCAACCUGGGAACGGCAUCCGGAACUGUCAAGCUAGAGUGCAGGAGAGGAAGGUAGAAUUCCCGGUGUAGCGGUGAAAUGCGUAGAGAUCGGGAGGAAUACCAGUGGCGAAGGCGGCCUUCUGGACUGACACUGACACUGAGGUGCGAAAGCGUGGGUAGCAAACAGGAUUAGAUACCCUAGUAGUC
rnacentral:rRNA from 1 species